rnacentral:rRNA from 1 species
UAGAUUAGAAUUUAAGGUCUAACCUGCUCACUGAUAAUUUUAAGAGCCGCAGUAAAUUGACUGUGCAAAGGUAGCAUAAUCAUUAGUUUUUUAAUUGAAAGCUUGUAUGAAUGGUUGGACGAGAUAUAAUCUGUCUUUAUUUUAUUAAUUGAAUUUAAUUUUUAAGUUAAAAAGCUUAAAUUUUUUUAAAAGACGAGAAGACCCUAUAGAUCUUUAUAUAAUUAUUUAUUUAUUUUUUAAGGAUUUUUAAUUUUUAAAUAAAAGAUUAUAUUUUAUUGGGGUAAUAAAAAGAUUUAAUAAAUUCUUUUUGAAAAUAUAUUGAUUAAUAAUUUUAAUGAUCCAAUAAUUUUGAUUAUAAGAUUAAGUUACCUUAGGGAUAACAGCGUAAUUUUUUUAGAGAGUUCAUAUCGAUAAAAAAGUUUGCGACCUCGAUGUUGGAUUAAAAUUUAUUUUAGGUGUAGUAGUUUAAAUAUUUAGUCUGUUCGACUAUUAAAAUUUUACA